rnacentral:lncRNA from 1 species
CUUUUCUGUUUCAGACUGGCAGUGAAGCAGGGAAUGCAGGUGACAUGGUGUGGCUGAAUUUCAGAAAGUCUUCAAUGAGAUCACUCAAAGGAUACAGAAAAAAUACAUCCAAAUGCCUACCAGGUCACACAGAGGCAUGCCUGAUCCAACAACCAAGCUCAAGGGUCCCUGCUCAUUCAGCGUUCCCUCCCUGUGCAGAGCAAAGAAAGACCCAGCCAGGCAUCUGGAGGCUGAAGCCCAGCAGCCAGCAGCAAGGCAGCUUUCUGAGCCACAGCCCAGGUGUCAGCCAGCCAAGCUUUCCUCUGCAGGGCAGGACAUGCGCCCUCUGCAAGUCAUCUGAGGAACAGCAGCAGCAGCUGCUGGCUCUGACCCCAGCAAGAAUGGCCCACUGCUCUUUCCAAAGCAUCAGCGUGGUCAGGGACAGGCAACGGAUGCCUCACCCCGGAAGGUGAGCAUUGAAGGUGUCCAGAAACAGUGGUGAGUCUGCCCCUCCACUCUUCCUCCUCCAAGCCCAUUUUACAGACAGAGAAACCAAGGGCCAAACUCCAAGUCG